AUCCUAAGUUAUUUUAAGUCAUCUCUCAAGGUAUUCAAGUUUUAUCUCAUUCAACUCAAACUUAAUUUUGUGGCAAUUAAGUUAAUUGAGAUCCAUUAAGUUCUUUGACUAAUUAUCUGUUCCACAUAGAAUUUUAGCGUAUAUCUAGGUCAAAAACUCUUAAGUUCAAAAUCUAACUAUUCCAAUAUUAAUUUUCAUCUUUCAGUUCUUCAUUUAAU
rnacentral:misc_RNA from 1 species